UACGUAGGGUGCAAGCGUUGUCCGGAAUUAUUGGGCGUAAAGAGCUCGUAGGCGGUUUGUUAAGUCUGAUGUAUAAACCCAAGGCUCAACUUUGGGUGGCAUUGGAAACUGGGAGACUGGAGUGUAGGAGAGGAAAGUGGAAUUCCACGUGUAGCGGUGAAAUGCGUAGAGAUGUGGAGGAACACCAGUGGCGAAGGCGACUUUCUGGCCUAUAACUGACGCUGAGGCGCGAAAGCGUGGGAGCAAACAGG
rnacentral:rRNA from 1 species